AUUGAACGCUGGCGGCAGGCCUAACACAUGCAAGUCGAGCGGAUGAAGGGAGCUUGCUCCUGGAUUCAGCGGCGGACGGGUGAGUAAUGCCUAGGAAUCUGCCUGGUAGUGGGGGAUAACGUCCGGAAACGGGCGCUAAUACCGCAUACGUCCUGAGGGAGAAAGUGGGGGAUCUUCGGACCUCACGCUAUCAGAUGAGCCUAGGUCGGAUUAGCUAGUUGGUGGGGUAAAGGCCUACCAAGGCGACGAUCCGUAACUGGUCUGAGAGGAUGAUCAGUCACGCUGGAACUGAGACACGGUCCAGACUCCUACGGGAGGCAGCAGUGGGGAAUAUUGGACAAUGGGCGAAAGCCUGAUCCAGCCAUGCCGCGUGUGUGAAGAAGGUCUUCGGAUUGUAAAGCACUUUAAGUUAGGAGGAAGGGCAGUAAGUUAAUACCUUGCUGUUUUGACGUUACCAACAGAAUAAGCACCGGCUAACUUCGUG
rnacentral:rRNA from 1 species